rnacentral:rRNA from 1 species
UACAGAGGGUGCGAGCGUUAAUCGGAAUUACUGGGCGUAAAGCGCGCGUAGGCGGCUUUGCAAGUCCCAUGUGAAAUCCCACGGCUCAACCGUGGAAGUGCAUGGGAAACUGCAGAGCUUGAGUACUUAAGAGGAUCGCGGAAUUCCCGGUGUAGAGGUGAAAUUCGUAGAUAUCGGGAGGAACACCAGUGGCGAAGGCGGCGAUCUGGGAAGAUACUGACGCUGAGGUGCGAAAGCGUGGGGAGCAAACAGG